UAUGCUUGGAUUUUCAUAAACAAUUGGAUGACACGUUUGGCUGAUAUUACUGUUCAAAUAAAGUUCACUUUGACAGAAAGCCGUGACAAUUUUAUGUGUUAAUUAGCCUGGUCUAACGGUCAGAGCAUCAAGUGAAGUCAGCGAUCCUGUUCCUUAGCGCCUUUUGGACUUCAUCUUGCUUGUAAAGAAGACCAUUUUUAAAUGACUGAAGAAGUAACACUUUUCUGAAGAAAUCUCUGCUGUGGAAAGAAUAUUUUGAAAGUGGCUGUUUGGAGACGUUUUCAUUAUUAUAUGAUUUUGAUGCAGAAAGCAAUUAAGUAUGCAAUGUAUAAAAACUGGGGAAAAAACCACCUGGAUCUAAAAUUUUCUGAUUCAUUAAAGAUUUUUUUCAA